CUUCUUGUUCCCAGCCUAAAUCCUUUCUCCUUUUCAUCUCUCCCUGAGGAUACAAACAGGAUUCUGCUGCCCCUGACCACUCUGCAAGUCCAGCAUAUUAUGAAGCAUGGAUAAAUUUCCAGCAGUUUCCAUUUUCCUUUCUGGACUCUUUGGAGAUAAGUGACCUGUGACUCCUCUGGCAAGGCACAUUAAGUAUUAUGAAUCCAUUCAAUAUAUUAGCUGAUAUUUUCAUGAAAAUUUCUUUUGGAGUUUCC
rnacentral:lncRNA from 1 species